CCUACGGGUGGCAGCAGUGGGGAAUAUUGCGCAAUGGGCGAAAGCCUGACGCAGCGACGCCGCGUGAGGGAUGAAGGUCUUCGGAUCGUAAACCUCUGUCAGCAGAGAAGAACGGUCACUGUGCUAAUCAGCAGUGAAUUGACGGUACCUGCAAAGGAAGCACCGGCUAACUCCGUGCCAGCAGCCGCGGUAAUACGGAGGGUGCGAGCGUUAAUCGGAAUUACUGGGCGUAAAGCGCUCGUAGGCGGUAUGUCAAGUCAAGGGUGAAAUCCCCGCGCUCAACGUGGGAACUGCCUUUGAAACUGGCAAACUGGAGUGUGUGAGAGGAUAGUGGAAUUCCAGGUGUAGGAGUGAAAUCCGUAGAUAUCUGGAGGAACAUCAGUGGUGAAGGCGACCAUCUGGAACAUAACUGACGCUGAGGAGCGAAAGCGUGGGUAGCAAACAGGAUUAGAUACCCCUGUAGUC
rnacentral:rRNA from 1 species